rnacentral:precursor_RNA from 1 species
UUACUUUGGUUUCUGACGUCCCUAAAAUUUUUAGACAGUAAGAGUUUCUCCAGGAUCCGAUGGUUCUCUCCGGUAAAUUAACAUUUUAGUGUCAAUAGUCAUUUAUACAUAUUUUUAUUUCACUUUUUGUUUUGUUUAUUGGUUUUCUGGAGUUAAGUGGAGAUUAUAGUCGAACAAGAGUGGUUUUAUGCAAGGUAACGCGAGAUAUUAGUGCGGUUCAAUCAAAUAGUCGUCCUCUUAACUCAUGGAGAACGGUGUUGUUCGAUUGAGCCGUGCCAAUAUCACGCGGUAAACCAAAAAUGGCAAAGAUAGUUAUUAUAACCUUAAAGGUAUGUAUCAUUAUCGUUUUAUUGUUUCAAUUUUGAUUAAUGGCUUUGAUAUUUCAUUUUUUUUUU